rnacentral:rRNA from 1 species
ACCAGACUCCUACGGGAGGCAGCAGUGGGGAAUAUUGCACAAUGGGGGAAACCCUGAUGCAGCGACGCCGCGUGAGCGAAGAAGUACCUCGGUAUGUAAAGCUCUAUCAGCAGGGAAGAAGAUGACGGUACCUGACCAAGAAGCUCCGGCUAAAUACGUGCCAGCAGCCGCGGUAAUACGUAUGGAGCAAGCGUUAUCCGGAUUUAUUGGGUUUAAAGGGUGCGUAGGCGGAAUAUCAAGUCAGCGGUAAAAAUUCGGGGCUCAACCCCGUCGUGCCGUUGAAACUGAUGUUCUUGAGUGGGGGAGAAGUAUGCGGAAUGCGUGGUGUAGCGGUGAAAUGCGUAGAUAUCAGGAGGAACACCGGUGGCGAAGGCGGCCUGCUGGACUGCGACUGACGUUGAGGCCCGAAAGCGUGGGGAGCAAACAGGAUUAGAUACCCGUGUA